CCUGUGUGGAGAAUCCUUGUGAAAAUGGAGGCUCCUGUGUGGAAAUCGAUGCUACUUCAUUUGAGUGCCAGUGCCCUUUCCCAUUCAACGGAACAUUCUGUGAAGUCAAUAAUGAUCCUUGCCAGAUGGACCCAACACCCUGUCUGAAUGGAGCAACCUGUAAUAACUAUGGACUUCUAUACAACUGCUCCUGUGCUUACGGCUUCCAAGGAUUCAACUGUGAAGAAGAGGUGAAUCCAUGUCGGGAUGAACCUUGUUUGAAUGGAGGUACUUGUACGAAUCUGAUAGAGACUUACACCUGUGCCUGUGGGGGAUCCUUCAUGGGCAGGAACUGUGAAAUAGGUGAGUGUUGUCAACUGAAUACAUUUCAAACAGUGACUUUUAAGUUCUAUCAAGCUCACA